GACCAGAAAGCCACGGCUAACUACGUGCCAGCAGCCGCGGUAAUACGUAGGUGGCAAGCGUUGUCCGGAAUUAUUGGGCGUAAAGCGCGCGCAGGCGGUUCCUUAAGUCUGAUGUGAAAGCCCACGGCUCAACCGUGGAGGGUCAUUGGAAACUGGGGAACUUGAGUGCAGAAGAGGAGAGUGGAAUUCCACGUGUAGCGGUGAAAUGCGUAGAGAUGUGGAGGAACACCAGUGGCGAAGGCGACUCUCUGGUCUGUAACUGACGCUGAGGCGCGAAAGCGUGGGGAGCAAACAGGAUUAGAUACCCUGGUAGUCCACGCCGUAAACGAUGAGUGCUAAGUGUUAGAGGGUUUCCGCCCUUUAGUGCUGCAGCAAACGCAUUAAGCACUCCGCCUGGGGAGUACGGCCGCAAGGCUGAAACUC
rnacentral:rRNA from 1 species